UACAGAGGUCUCAAGCGUUGUUCGGAUUCAUUGGGCGUAAAGGGUGUGUAGGUGGCGCGCUAAGUCGGGUGUGAAAUUUCGGAGCUUAACUCCGAAACUGCAUUCGAUACUGGCGUGCUUGAGGACUGGAGAGGAGACUGGAAUUCAUGGUGUAGCAGUGAAAUGCGUAGAGAUCAUGAGGAAGACCAGUGGCGAAGGCGGGUCUCUGGGCUGAGAUUGACGCUCAGGCACGAAAGCGUGGGGAGCAAACAGG
rnacentral:rRNA from 1 species